CAAUAGCGUAUAUUAAAGUUGUUGCGGUAAAAAAGCUCGUAGUUGGAUUUCUGUUGGGCGGAUCGGGUCGGCUCUUCGAGCUCGUAUCUCGUUUCUGCUCGGCAUCCUCGUAGGGAACGUUGCUGCGCUUCAUUGCGUGGUGCGGUAUCUGCGACUUUUACUUUGAGGAAAUUAGAGUGUUCACGGCAGGCAAUCGCCUUGAAUAUAUUAGCAUGGAAUAAUAACAUAGGAUCUUCGUCCUAUUUUGUUGGUUUCUAGGGCUAAGAUAAUGAUUAAUAGGGAUAAUUGGGGGCAUCAGUAUCAACGCGUCAGAGGUGGAAUUCUUGGAUUGCGUUGCGACUAACUACUGCGAAAGCAUUUGCCAAGGAUGUUUUCAUUG
rnacentral:rRNA from 1 species